rnacentral:pre_miRNA from 1 species
UCUUAUGAAUGAGCAAAGAAAGUGGUUUCUUGAGAUGGAAUCUACUCCUGGUUCUGAAGAAGCUGUGAA